GCUAAGCCCUAAACAUUGAUUAGCCACAUACAACUUCUCCGCCAGAGAACUACAAGUGAAAAACUUGAAACUCAAAGGACUUGACGGUGUCCCAUAUCGGCCUAGAGGAGCCUGUCCUAUAAUCGAUACUCCACGUUCUACCUAACCCUAACUAGCACAAUAUCAGCCUAUAUACCGCCGUCGACAGCCUACCCUAUGAAGGUCUAACAGUAGACACAAUAACCCAACCGCUAGAACGUCAGGUCAAGGUGUAGCAAAUGCUAGGGAAGAGAUUGGCUACAUUUUUUAUAAUAAAAAACACGAAAAGUACUAUGAAACCGUACAUGAAGGUGAAUUUAGCAGUAAAAUAGACAAGAGUAUCUAUUUUAACAACGCUCUGGGACGCGUACACACCGCCCGUCACCCUCCUCAAACAACAUAAACCAUCUUUAUAAACCAAAAAAGUUAAAUAGAGGAGGC
rnacentral:rRNA from 1 species